AGUGAACGCUGGCGGUAGGCCUAACACAUGCAAGUCGAACGGCAGCACAGGAGAGCUUGCUCUCUGGGUGGCGAGUGGCGGACGGGUGAGGAAUACAUCGGAAUCUACUCUGUCGUGGGGGAUAACGUAGGGAAACUUACGCUAAUACCGCAUACGACCUACGGGUGAAAGCAGGGGACCUUCGGGCCUUGCGCGAUUGAAUGAGCCGAUGUCGGAUUAGCUAGUUGGCGGGGUAAAGGCCCACCAAGGCGACGAUCCGUAGCUGGUCUGAGGGGAUGAUCAGCCACACUGGAACAGAGACACGGACCAGACUCCUACGGGAGGCAGCAGUGGGGAAUAUUGGACAAUGGGCGCAAGCCUGAUCCAGCCAUACCGCGUGGGUGAAGAAGGCCUUCGGGUUGUAAAGCCCUUUUGUUGGGAAAGAAAUCCAGCUGGCUAAUACCCGGUUGGGAUGACGGUACCCAAAGAAUAAGCACCGGCUAACUUCGUGCCAGCAGCCGCCGUAA
rnacentral:rRNA from 1 species